UAAUUUAAGUCAACAAUAAUCAUCAACUCAAAAAUCAUACACAAAAAGUCUACCGGUGGUAGUCUAGAUCCACAAUAUACAUCAACAAAAAUUAACUCUAGAUCCACCACAAAAAUAAUCAACUCCAAGUCGACAUGGAAAAUCAUGUUCUAAUUGGCCGGCGUGUACCUAAGAUCGACGUCGUCUCUUCACCAGUGUAAUGGAUCUGCCACCGCCAUUGUUGGCCAAAGGAGGCCAUGGAUCCAAUGCUGCGACUAGUGACUAAAGACAAAGGUCGCAAAUCCACCACGCUAGAGGCAAUGCGGUGGAUCCAUCGAUGUCGCUGCUACCUAAUUAAAGGCAGAGGAAGUGGAUCCUCCAUUGACUCUACC
rnacentral:lncRNA from 1 species